rnacentral:lncRNA from 10 species
GCCCAAGAGGGCUCCGGGGUCCUACCGAUCACCGCUUACCAUGUAUGCGAUAAAAGCUCACCGAAAGCGGGACCUCGUGCGCUGUGCAAAUGAGGAAACUGGCACAGCCAUCAGCCCACUUCAUAUAGACAGAUAGAUGCAGAAAUGAUGACGGGGACCAGGUGGCCUGAGUCUUCGCCCUCUACCUUUUCCACCAUGCCACACUGCCUUCCACCCAACGCGUGAAAACUUUGGCCUGAAAAUCGGGUGAUGUGACUGUAAGAAAUGCACCCAUUAUUCCCAAAGGAGUCAGGGAAGGUGAUGGCCCUUAGCCAGACAAGAAAAUAUAUUCUUGGAAGACAAAAAAAGUGUCAGAAGAUUUAUUAGUCUUUGUGUUGAUAUUCACUGAGCAAAGAAAGAAAAAACAAGGAAGUCAACAGUAAGGAAGGAAACGAUGUUAUUAUUGAACUGAUUCUUACCUUGUGUAUGUUAGUUUUGGAUCAUUAAGCCACUUUGUUACUGCACUGGCUUCCUGAAAAGCCAAAAAAGUGACAUUCACAAGUCAUGCUUCGUUGUACUAGCAAAGGAAGGACAUGCUGUAACCUCACGUCUGGCGUCCCGGCACUUUGGGAAUGUCAACAUUUAUCAGCCUUGUUCACAUCUAGUCCUCCUCCAACAAAUUUCAGCUUCUGACCCUCCUCAGGAUUAGAAGUGGCGAUUCAGAGGCUGGGAGGGUGAAAGCAUGACUUCUCAAGAACCAGCUCGUGCUGAAGUCACUGCUCACCUUCCUGUCUCAGGGAUGCUCCUGAUGCUAAUGACGUCGUGUGAAUCAUGCUCUACGUGUCUGCAUGCCUGAGCCGAGCUUAUCCUCAUGGCACCCUGUGAGGCAGGCUGCUGCUCCUACUCCCACUCACCAGAAGAGGAAGCCGAGGCUCAGAGACUGAGUAACUCUUGAGGUUACACAGCCACCGAGCAGGGUCAUUAGGGCCCUAUGAGAUUUCCUUCCGACUCCGCUCUGAACUCACUCUCGUAGGCCCAAGCUGGGCGCCUCCCCCAGGGAACACCGUAGUGGCCCGGAAAACAGAGAGCACAGGUUACAUUUGGCUCACAUUCUUGGUGUGUCCACUGUAGGUUGCUGUGAAGUAAAUUUUAAAUUUUUAUAUAAAAACAAACAGAUAAUUUCUUGAGUGGGACAUAAAAGCAUGAAUUUGAAAGUUAAAAUGUAAGAUAUUGACCUUUUACUUAAUAAUAAUGUAACAAUAUUGCUUUAUUAACUGUGACAAAUGUACCAUUGUAAAAUAAGAUAAUCAUAAUGAAAACUGGGUGUGGAGUGUGCAGGAACUCUGUAUUAUCUUUGUAAUAAUAUGGUAAAUCUAAAAUUGUUCUAAAAUAAAAAUUUUUCUCUUUAAAAAAGUA